GGGAACCAAUUCAACCAAGCAUUAGACGGAGAUGGCUAAAACGGGGCAUCACAUGUGUUGCACGGCUCUGCGGUAUGCUAACGCCGGGAAUUCCAGUUCUGCUAAGGUUUUCAGGUUUGCUCAUGCCAGCUGGUCCCUCCAGGCUGGGUUGAAGCGAGAGGGCGGACCGCAGACGCGAAUGUGAGCUCUCGCGCCAGUUGGUGUGCCCGCUCGUUCGGAUUACAGUCAGGAGGUCCGGAAGUGUUGCCCAUGUGGGCCCGGAACCAUGUGAUGUGUGGGGAGUUGGAUAUCCAGCAACCACCAGGGGAAGAAGCGGUGCUGCCACGGGGUAUCGGCAUGUGACAGAGUGUCCCAAGGGAGUUAGGUAUAGGGAGUUUCCGCCCACUGGCUUCACUACCAUGUGUAUUUACCUUGGCUUGAACGCGAGCUAACAGUCCUGCACGCAACUUGGAACGAAUAAUUGCCAUGGACAGUCUCAUCAUCUAUAAAAGAACCACCGUCGACGCAGCUCUAUGAGCCCUCUGACAGUACCUUGGUGCAGUUCGCUAAGCGUUUCGCUCUCGGCGUGCAGAUGGUGCAGAUGGCGUGCAGAUCACCAACGUGCUGCUUAUUGUUUUGGCAUGCGCAUCCUUGGGUACCUCAUCAGGGCAGGCUUUCCCUUGUCGCGAAGACGGGGUGGCCACGUGCCAUCCUUUACACAGCAGUCCUGGAUCUUGGAACGAAUCAUCGCCAUCGACAGCCCGACCAUCUGUAAAGAAACAAUCACCCUCGACGCCACUCUGUGGGCCCGGUGACUGCACCUUGCUGCAGUUCGCUAACCGUUUUGCUGUCGCCUUAUAGGUUUGUCAAACAUAUGUGCUUUUUGCUAAAAGAUCAAGGAACUUUCUUCUCGUACAGC